CGUGGCCGCCGCACUGGAUAUCGCCGUGGAAGGGCUUGUAGAAGAUGUCACGGGCCUCCCGGGUGCCUGUGUAACAGGCGUUGCGGUUGGCCUCCAUCUUGGCGUGCACCUUGUCCAGCGGGAACAGGCAGAGGCCCGCACCGGGCCCCCCACUGCUCCGGCUGUCUCUGCUGAAGACAGCAUAUAGCACCCUGCCAGAGCCAGGCGCAGCCACGGAGGCGGCCAGGCAGGUGCCAAAGGCAGCGGCGUGGAUGUCGGGGUCCCGGCACUGCAGGUCCAUCUCCAGGUAGGAGUAGUAGUUGGGGUCUUCUCUGCACAUGCGUGCCAGCAGCGUGCGGUUCCGGGCCGGGUGCUUGUCCUGCUGGUUGAAGACAAAGAAGACGUAGGGGCCGUCCUCGAAGGCCGCCACGAACUGCUGUGUGUUGGUGGACAGGUAGCCGGCCUUGUAGGUGGCGUGGUCCGUGUAGGCUUCAAAGGCCUCCCUGCUGUCAGUCCGGUCCAACAGCCGAGUGCUCACGAUGAUGCCGUUGUCGUGUGGCCCAUUGCCUUUGCCCACAAACAGCACGCGGUCACCACCAGGACCCGUGGAGCUCACCAGCCCCACUGUGGCCACGCCCUCAUCAUUGCUGGCCACGAAAGACUUCUCCCCGCUGCCGUCCUCGUAGAACAGGCGGAGGGAGAUGUUGCUCAGGGCGCGCAGAGCGCAGAUGCCCUUGAAGAGGCUGCCGCACUCCACCAGGCGCUUCCUGGGAGGGUCGAGCAGCAGCAGCUGGUUGACAUUGUCAGUCAUCUCAGCCUCAUGGCACUGGCUGGCCUCGAUGGGCGGCGUGCACUUCUUGUUGUCCAGGGCCGGGCCCGUGGCCACCUGCUGCUCCAGCUGCAGCUUCGCAUCCAGCUGGUAGAGGGCAUUCACCGCCCCCAGGUACACCACGCCUGAGGCCUCAUCCACAGCCAGGUGGUUCAGCUCUUUCUCGCUGCGGAAGAAGUCCAGCUUGCGGGGCCUCAGGCUGGCACCUGCGCCCAGCAGGCCCAGCAGGGUCAGGGCCCAGAGCUGCAGUGCCAUUGCCCCCCGCACCCUG
rnacentral:lncRNA from 10 species